UGGGGAAUAUUGCACAAUGGGCGCAAGCCUGAUGCAGCCAUGCCGCGUGUGUGAAGAAGGCCUUCGGGUUGUAAAGUACUUUCAGUCGGGAGGAAGGUGUCAAGGUUAAUAACCUUGGCAAUUGACGUUACCGACAGAAGAAGCACCGGCUAACUCCGUGCCAGCAGCCGCGGUAAUACGGAGGGUGCAAGCGUUAAUCGGAAUUACUGGGCGUAAAGCGCACGCAGGCGGUUGAUUGAGUCAGAUGUGAAAUCCCCGGGCUUAACCCGGGAAUUGCAUCUGAUACUGGUCAGCUAGAGUCUUGUAGAGGGGGGUAGAAUUCCAGGUGUAGCGAUGAAAUGCGUAGAGAUCUGGAGGAAUACCGGUGGCGAAGGCGGCCCCCUGGACAAAGACUGACGCUCAGGUGCGAAAGCGUGGGGAGCAAACAGG
rnacentral:rRNA from 1 species